GAAAUGCGAAACGUAGUACGAUCCGCACACACCUGUGAGUCAUCGAGUCUUUGAACGCACGUGGCACCAGGGAUGUUUGUCCUUGGUAUACCUGUUUGAGCAUCCGAUCAAUCUUCACGUGAGUGAGAGCUGACUGUUCUUGCUUUGAGUCAGUCAAAAUGCAUCGGUGGGGCUGAGCAAGUCAAUUCGGCCCCGUGAGGUACUGGACCCGUCCUGCACCACGGAGCACGCCGAGUUGAUGCAUCAACCCACACCACCAGUCACUAGACUCAAUAAUCAGUAUCUCAAAUCAGGCAAGGCUACCCGCUGAACUUAA
rnacentral:misc_RNA from 1 species